UACAGAGGGGGCAAGCGUUGUUCGGAAUUACUGGGCGUAAAGGGCGCGUAGGCGGCCUGCUAAGUCGAACGUGAAAUCCCCGGGCUCAACCCGGGAACUGCGUCCGAUACUGGUGGGCUUGAAUCCGGGAGAGGGAUGUGGAAUUCCAGGUGUAGCGGUGAAAUGCGCAGAUAUCAGGAGGAACACCGGUGGCGAAGGCGGGUCUCUGGGCCGAUACUGACGCUGAGGAGCGAAAGCGUGGGGAGCGAACAGG
rnacentral:rRNA from 1 species